rnacentral:rRNA from 1 species
UACGGAGGGUGCAAGCGUUAUCCGGAUUCACUGGGUUUAAAGGGUGCGUAGGUGGGCAGGUAAGUCAGUGGUGAAAUCUCCGGGCUCAACCCGGAAAUGGCAUUGGAUACUAUUCGGCUAGAGGUUUGGAGGGGGGACUGGAAUUCUCGGUGUAGCAGUGAAAUGCGUAGAUAUCGAGAGGAACACCAGUGGCGAAGGCGAGUCCCUGGACAACACCUGACACUGAGGCACGAAAGCUAGGGGAGCAAACAGG